rnacentral:rRNA from 1 species
CUCCAGACUCCUACGGGAGGCAGCAGUGAGGAAUAUUGGUCAAUGGGCGAGAGCCUGAACCAGCCAAGUCGCGUGAGGGACGACGGCCCUACGGGUUGUAAACCUCUUUUGCCGGGGGACAAACGGCGGCACGCGUGCCGUCCUGAGGGUACCCGGAGAAAAAGCAUCGGCUAACUCCGUGCCAGCAGCCGCGGUAAUACGGAGGAUGCGAGCGUUAUCCGGAUUUAUUGGGUUUAAAGGGUGCGUAGGCGGAUUUUUAAGUCAGCGGUAAAAUGUCCGGGCUCAACCCGGGCCGGCCGUUGAAACUGGGGAUCUUGAGUGGGCGAGAAGUAUGCGGAAUGCGUGGUGUAGCGGUGAAAUGCAUAGAUAUCACGCAGAACUCCGAUUGCGAAGGCAGCAUACCGGCGCCCAACUGACGCUGAAGCACGAAAGCGUGGGUAUCGAACAGGAUUAGAUACCCUAGUA